GUUUAUUAUUUGAUUACAUAGUCAUGUUUCAUUGACCACCUAUAGUUAACCAAAUCAGCUGAUUCAGGGGUGUAGUUAGUGUUGAUAGUACGCCCACCCCACCCACACUGCAGGAGGUAACAACACUCACCACGCCCCCCACACCCACACUGUAGAAGGUACGUAACUAUACACAAUAUGCCCACUCCACCCACACUGCAGGAGGAGGUAACAACACUCACCACACCCAUGACGGUGAACAGGAAUGCCUCGAGGUCCUCACGUCCGUAUGCCUCUAACAUGCUCUUGUCAGCAACUACAGCCAUUUCUAUAGUGAUGUCCGAGGCCAGGACGCUUCGUUUGAGCCUGUCUUGGUGGGGGGUCCCAGCAGGAACAGCUGCACUCUCCGGGGGGUCUUGGUGGGAGGUCCUGACUGGAACAGCUGCACUCUCCAGGGGGUCUGGUGAUGUAAAAAUACACUACAGUUAUCCUGGUCAUACAUGUACAUGUGCGUGGGCUGCACACCUUGUGGAGUGGUGCACUUGCCAGUCUCAGUGUUCUUGUAGACAGUGUGUUGCCUUGGACCCUCUGUGACAUCAUGUGACAUCACUGGCUCUAUAA